AACAUAACCUUUAGCCAAACAAAUAUUAAAGGCAACGCCUGCCCAGUGAACAAUUAAACGGCCGCGGUACCCUAACCGUGCAAAGGUAGCGUAAUCAUUUGUCUACUAAUUAUAGACCUGUAUGAAAGGCAAAAUGAGGGCCUGACUGUCUCUUAUAAUAAAUCAAUUAAACUGAUCUUCUAGUAAAAAAGCUAGAAUUCCAACAUAAGACCAGAAGACCCUGUGAAGCUUAAACUAAACCAUUAAACCCAAUAAUGACUACUUUCGGUUGGGGCGACCUUGGAAAAAAAAAGAACUUCCAAACAACGUGACUAUACUCACACUCUAAACAGGCUUACAAGCCAAUAAACGACCCAGCAAAGCUGACAAAUGAACCAAGUUACUCCAGGGAUAACAGCGCAAUCUUCUUCAAGAGCCCAUAUCAAAAAGAAGGUUUACGACCUCGAUGUUGGAUCAGGACAUCCUAAUGGUGCAGCCGCUAUUAAGGGUUCGUUUGUUCAACGAUUAAUAGUCCUAC
rnacentral:rRNA from 1 species